AGACCAUGUCUGUUUGGGAAAAAUAAGAAAGUAAAAUGCAUGCUAAAUAUAAGUAAUAUUUAUUUGAUGAGUUCAUAUUAAAGCCUAUAUAGCAAACAAUUUAUUUUAAAAUAUAGAAAAUAUUAAUUCAUGGUUCUGCUUGGAGCAUUGUUGAUAUAAAAGGGUCUCUUGUUCUACAGCAUAAUGUAUACUAUGACUCUCAAAUUGAUAGGGGUGUUAAUGUAGAAACCAAAGUUGAUAAGGGCGCUAAUGUGGAAACCAAAGUUGAUAAGGGUGUUAGUGUGGAAACCAAAGUGAUAAGGGUGUUAAUGUGGAAACCAAAGUUGAUAAGGGCGUUAAUGUGGAAACCAAAGUUGAUAAGGGCGUUAAUGUGGAAACCAGAGUUGAUAAGGGUGUUAGUGUGGAAACCAAAGUUGAUAAGGGUGUUAAUGUGGAAACCAAAGUUGAUAAGGGCGUUAAUGUGGAAACCAGAGUUGAUAAGGGUGUUAGUGUGGAAACCAAAGUUGAUAAGGGCGUUAAUGUGGAAACCAAAGUUGAUAAGGGCGUUAAUGUGGAAACCAAAGUUGAUAAGGGUGAAAGUGUGGAAACCAGAGUUGAUAAGGGUGUUAGUGUGGAAACCAAAGUGAUAGGGGUGUUAGUGUGGAAACCUAAGUAAAUAAGGGUUUUAGUGUGGAAACUAAAUUUGAUAUAGAUUUUAAUGUGGAAACCAAAGUUGAUAAGGGUGUAGGUUUUGGGAACCAAAUUGAUACCAUUCUUUCUCUUAUUCAACUUGUCCUUAUGCUUCAAAGAGUAAAGGAGUUAUUUGCAAUAUUUUUUUUUAUUUCUAAAGAUAUUUGACCCCUGUAACCAACUAGAACUUCAAGCAAAAUGCUUUAAC